GGGGGUGUGGCUCAGUUAGUAGAGUGCUUGUCUAGCAUGCUUGAAACUCUGGGUUCGAUCCCCAGCCCCG
rnacentral:tRNA from 1 species